rnacentral:RNase_P_RNA from 2 species
AGGCCGAGGCUGGCGGCCACGGGCCCGAGAGGGCCUGAGGAAACACCGCCCUCCCAGCGGCAGCCGGACCCCGCAAGGGGCCAGGGCAGGCCCCUGGGCAACGGCACAGAGACGACACGGCCCCCACGGCAUGGCGAUGACUCCGCGAGGCGGGCCUGGCGACAGGCCCGCAGUAACCGGUCGAGGACCGCGGGGGAUGCGGUGAAACGGCCGUCCCCGGCGGAGCAAGGCCAGGGCCUGUGAGGGGCCGCGGGAGGCCCUGGAGACCGCUGAGUCAAAUGCCGCCGAAGUACAGAAGGCGGGUUAUAGCCUCGGCCU